ACUCAUUUUAGAAAUGUAUUAAGUGUAAGAGCCAGAGCUGAUAUAUUUCUCCAUGGUUUGCUGAAAUAUGUUCAUAUUUUAAAGAGGAUACAGGAAUGUAAUACUUUUCCUAGGGUAGACAAUGGCACUAGGUAUAGAUUAUUACAGUUUCCAGGCUCAUUGUGAGAUUAUAAAUUAUGUUACAAUCAAAAUACUUCAAGUAAGUAAGUUAUAGUAGAGGACACAUGUAUAAAGCUGGUGUAUGUGUGAUAAUAUGGAUUUGAACCUGGGUCUCCUGCUUGUCAAAACACUGCCUUAGUCCAUUCAGCCAGUCUUCAGUCUUAACAGCUGUGCUGACCACCAUUGUUACAUUGAGCACAUUGGGGCCGAUUCAGUCUUGAGAUAAAUAGACUUAACAUGGAUUUGAGUCAAUAAAACAUGGACAUUUGUUUUACUUGAUCCAUGUUAAAUCAACAUAUGUGCACCUAUAUUUUUUUUCAAUACUUUAUUUAGACAGAUUAGAAACAGAAGGAGUGAAGGUGAGAUAUGCGGAAGUGGGGAUUAAACCCACUCAAGCAUAUAUCCACAUGACUUGUAAGGAACUUGUAAAUCACAUUGAGUUAAACUCUGGGUCCCCAUAUCAGAAGACACAUGUUUAGAUUAAAGGUCAAAUGUGAAUUUCAAACAUUGUGCUGCCAUACUGAUCAGAAUUCCCACAGUCUGGGGCAUGGGAGGUGGAGAGAGGGCAUUCACAGCAGGAGUGAUUAUUCUUUGUUCUUGUGUAAAAAAAAACAGGCAAGUUUGUGUGCCUCCCCUCUCUUCGGGUCCUUCGCAAACUCAGACAGGCGAGAGCACACCAAACGCUCAGAAAAUCAUGAAUAUGGGUCAAUUCUAACCAAAGCCAAUCAAGACAAGGAUCAGACUAAUGCCGACUGAAAUGUCAAUUUCUCAUCUAGCUCAACUGUACUGUGAUUCAAUCCAUUGCAACAUGUACCAUCUGAAUAUAAAUACUCAGGUCAGCGAUGUAGUUUG